rnacentral:rRNA from 1 species
UACGGGGGGAGCAAGCGUUGUUCGGAUUUACUGGGCGUAAAGGGCGCGUAGGCGGUCAGCACAAGUCAAUUGUGAAAUCUCCGAGCUUAACUCGGAAAGGUCAACUGAAACUGUGCGACUAGAGUGCGGAAGGGGCAACUGGAAUUCUUGGUGUAGCGGUGAAAUGCGUAGAUAUCAAGAGGAACACCUGCGGCGAAGGCGGGUUGCUGGGCCGACACUGACGCUGAGGAGCGAAAGCAUGGGGAGCGAACAGG